rnacentral:rRNA from 1 species
GAUGAACGCUGGCGGCGUGCCUAACACAUGCAAGUCGAACGGAGUUAUAGGAAGUCUUCGGACGGAAUAUAACUUAGUGGCGGACGGGUGAGUAACGCGUGGGUAACCUGCCUCAUACAGGGGGAUAACAGCUGGAAACGGCUGCUAAAACCGCAUAAGCAUACACUGCCGCAUGGCAGAGUGUGAAAAUAUUAAUAGGUAUGAGAUGGACCCGCGUCUGAUUAGCUGGUUGGUAGGGUAACGGCCUACCAAGGCGACGAUCAGUAGCCGGCUUGAGAGAGUGACCGGCCACAUUGGGACUGAGACACGGCCCAAACUCCUACGGGAGGCAGCAGUGGGGAAUAUUGCACAAUGGGGGAAACCCUGAUGCAGCGACGCCGCGUGAGUGAAGAAGUAUUUCGGUAUGUAAAGCUCUAUCAGCAGGGAAGAAAAUGACGGUACCUGACUAAGAAGCCCCGGCUAACUACGUGCCAGCCGCCGCGGUAACAC